UUUCCCCAAACUACCAGGGGUAUGCGCAAGGCCGUCAGGGGUACCCUGAAUAAAAAUGUGAUUCACUUAAAAAAAUUAAAAUAAACAGUAUGUUUAUAUUUUCCAACGGGGCUAUACAUUUGGGUGAUACAGGUAGCCUAGUAAAAUAAUUAACAUCCACUCACAUAAACCGUUACUCUCUCGCGGGAAACCUUCACUCUUGCGCAGACAUUUAGAAAUGAAACACGACCAUUUGAAGAAUAAGCCACGGAAGCGUCUUAUAUGGUGAGCUACCGAGUGGCUAAGACAUGCAAGCCCCAUACUACUGUGGUGGACUGGCUAAGACAGGCAAGCCCCAUACCACUGUGGGGGACUGGCUAAGACAGGCAAGCCCCAUACUACUGUGGAGGACUGGCUAAGACAGGCAAGCCCCCAUACUACUGUGGAGGACUGGCUAAGACAGGCAAGCCCCAUACUACUGUGGUGGACUGGCUAAGACAGGCAAGCCCCAUACCACUGUGGGGGACUGGCUAAGACAGGCAAGCCCCAUACUACUGUGGUGGACUGGCUAAGACAGGCAAGCCCCAUACUACUGUGGGGGACUGGCUAAGACAUGCAAGCCCCAUACUACUGUGGUGGACUGGCUAAGACAGGCAAGCCCCAUACUACUGUGGAGGACUGGCUAAGACAGGCAAGCCCCAUACUACUGUGGUGGACUGGCUAAGACAGGCAAGCCCCAUACUACUGUGGGGGACUGGCUAAGACAGGCAAGCCCCAUACUACUGUGGGGGACUGGCUAAGACAUGCAAGCCCCAUACUACUGUGGGGGACUGGCUAAGACAGGCAAGCCCCAUACCACUGUGGAGGACUGGCUAAGACAGGCAAGCCCCAUACCACUGUGGAGGACUGGCUAAGACAGGCAAGCCCCAUACCACUGUGGAGGACUGGCUAAGACAGGCAAGCCCCAUACUACUGUGGAGGACUGGCUAAGACAGGCAAGCCCCAUACUACUGUGGAGGACUGGCUAAGACAGGCAAGCCCCAUACUACUGUGGAGGACUGGCUAAGACAGGCAAGCCCCAUACCACUGUGGAGGACUGGCUAAGACAGGCAAGCCCCAUACUACUGUGGAGGACUGGCUAAGACAGGCAAGCCCCAUACUACUGUGGAGGACUGGCUAAGACAGGCAAGCCCCCAUACUACUGUGGAGGACUGGCUAAGACAGGCAAGCCCCAUACUACUGUGGAGGACUGGCUGACAGGCAAGCCCCAUACCACUGUGGAGGACUGGCUUAGACAGGCAAGCCCCAUACUACUGUGGAGGACUGGCUAAGACAGGCAAGCCCCAUACUACUGUGGAGGACUGGCUAAGACAGGCAAGCCCCAUACUACUGUGGAGGACUGGCUAAGACAGGCAAGCCCCCAUACUACUGUGGAGGACUGGCUAAGACAGGCAAGCCCCAUACUACUGUGGAGGACUGGCUAAGACAGGCAAGCCCCCAUACUACUGUGGGGACUGGCUAAGACAGGCAAGCCCCAUACUACUGUGGAGGACUGGCUAAGACAGGCAAGCCCCAUACUACUGUGGAGGACUGGCUAAGACAGGCAAGCCCCAUACCACUGUGGAGGACUGGCUAAGACAGGCAAGCCCCAUACUACUGUGGAGGACUGGCUAAGACAGGCAAGCCCCAUACUACUGUGGAGGACUGGCUAAGACAGGCAAGCCCCCAUACUACUGUGGAGGACUGGCUAAGACAGGCAAGCCCCAUACUACUGUGGAGGACUGGCUAAGACAGGCAAGCCCCAUACCACUGUGGAGGACUGGCUUAGACAGGCAAGCCCCAUACUACUGUGGAGGACUGGCUAAGACAGGCAAGCCCCAUACUACUGUGGAGGACUGGCUAAGACAGGCAAGCCCCAUACUACUGUGGAGGACUGGCUAAGACAGGCAAGCCCCCAUACUACUGUGGAGGACUGGCUAAGACAGGCAAGCCCCAUACUACUGUGGAGGACUGGCUAAGACAGGCAAGCCCCCAUACUACUGUGGAGGACUGGCUAAGACAGGCAAGCCCCAUACUACUGUGGAGGACUGGCUAAGACAGGCAAGCCCCAUACUACUGUGGAGGACUGGCUAAGACAGGCAAGCCCCAUACUACUGUGGAGGACUGGCUAAGACAGGCAAGCCCCCAUACUACUGUGGAGGACUGGCUAAGACAGGCAAGCCCCAUACUACUGUGGAGGACUGGCUAAGACAGGCAAGCCCCAUACCACUGUGGAGGACUGGCUUAGACAGGCAAGCCCCAUACUACUGUGGAGGACUGGCUAAGACAGGCAAGCCCCAUACUACUGUGGAGGACUGGCUAAGACAGGCAAGCCCCAUACUACUGUGGAGGACUGGCUAAGACAGGCAAGCCCCCAUACUACUGUGGAGGACUGGCUAAGACAGGCAAGCCCCAUACUACUGUGGAGGACUGGCUAAGACAGGCAAGCCCCAUACUACUGUGGAGGACUGGCUAAGACAGGCAAGCCCCAUACUACUGUGGAGGACUGGCUAAGACAGGCAAGCCCCAUACUACUGUGGAGGACUGGCUAAGACAGGCAAGCCCCAUACUACUGUGGAGGACUGGCUAAGACAGGCAAGCCCCAUACUACUGUGGAGGACUUAAUUCUUCCUGCUGCCGUGGAUAUGGCUGGGACAAUGCUGGGGGAAAAGGACAAAAAAAUGAUAGACAAUGCCUUCAUCAAACAGCACUGUUUCACAACGCAUCAGUGACAUGGCAGAUGUUUUGAAACAAGUGCUGCUUCGCAUACAAGCCAGUAAAUUCUAUGCGUUACAGCUGGAUGAGUCAACAGAAGUGGCGGGCCUGGCACAGCUCCUGGUAUAUGUCCAUUAUGUUUGAGGGGUCAGUUAAGGAAAACAUCCUCUUCUGCAAACCACUGGAAACCAGGACAACAUGAGAGGAUAUUUUUAAAGUACUGGACAGCUUUGUGACAUCAAAUGGACUUUGGUGGUCAAGAUGUGUUGGUAUCUGUACUGAUGGUGCAAAAGCCAUGACAGGGAGACAUAGUGGAGUGGUAACGCGCGUGCAAGCAGUUGCUCCCGACACCACUUGGGAACACUGCAGCAUCCACCGAGAGGCUCUUGGGUACACUGCAGCAUCCACCGAGAGGCUCUUGGGUACACUGCAGCAUCCACCGAGAGGCUCUAGGGUACACUGCAGCAUCCACCGAGAGGCUCUUGGGUACACUGCAGCAUCCACCUAGAGGCUCUUGGGUACACUGCAGCAUCCACCUAGAGGCUCUUGGGUACACUGCAGCAUCCACUGAGAGGCUCUUGGGUACACUGCAGCAUCCACCGAGAGGCUCUAGGGUACACUGCAGCAUCCACCUAGAGGCUCUAGGGUACACUGCAGCAUCCACCGAGAGGCUCUAGGGUACACUGCAGCAUCUACCUAGAGGCUCUUGGGUACACUGCAGCAUCCACCGAGAGGCUCUAGGGUACACUGCAGCAUCCACCGAGAGGCUCUUGGGUACACUGCAGCAUCCACCUAGAGGCUCUUGGGUACACUGCAGCAUCCACCGAGAGGCUCUAGGGUACACUGCAGCAUCCACCGAGAGGCUCUAGGGUACACUGCAGCAUCCACCUAGAGGCUCUUGGGUACACUGCAGCAUCCACCGAGAGGCUCUAGGGUACACUGCAGCAUCCACGAGAGGCUCUUGGGUACACUGCAGCAUCCACCGAGAGGCUCUAGGGUACACUGCAGCAUCCACCGAGAGGCUCUUGGGUACACUGCAGCAUCCACCUAGAGGCUCUUGGGUACACUGCAGCAUCCACCGAGAGGCUCUUGGGUACACUGCAGCAUCCACCGAGAGGCUCUUGGGUACACUGCAGCAUCCACCGAGAGGCUCUUGCUGCCAAAGGACUGCCUGACAGCUUGGACACUACAGUGAAAAUGGUUUACUCUGUUAAAUCAAGACCCCUGAACUCUCGUGUAUUUUCUGCAUUAUGCAAUGAUAUGGGCAGCGACCAUGUAACACUUUUACAACAUAUAGACGUGCGCUGGUUAUCAAGGGGCAAAGUAUUGGCAGGUUUUUUUUUAAAUUGAGAGACUAGCUUAAAGUUUUCUUUACUAACCAUCAUUUUCACUUGUCUGACUGCUUGCAUGAAGAAGAGUUUCUCACAUGACUGGCCUGUCUGGGUGAUGUCUUUUCUCACCUGAAUGAUCUGAAUCUAGGAUUACAGGGACUCUCCAACUGUAUUCAAUGUGCGGGACAAAAUUGAGGCUAUGGUUAAGAAGUUGGAGAUCUUCUCUGUCUGUAUUAACAAGGACAACACACAGGUCUUCCAUCAUUGUAUGAUUUGUUUGUGUGCAAAUUAACUCAAGCUUAUGGACAAAGUCAAAUGUGAUAUAGCGGAGCACCUGAGAGAGUUGGGUGAGCAAUUACGCAGGUACUUUCCCAAAACAGAUGACACAAACAACUGGAUUCAUUAUCCCUUUCAUGCCCUGCCUCCAGUCCACUUACCGAUAUCUGAACAAGGAAGCCUCAUCGAUAUUGCAACAAGUGGUUCUGUGAAAAUUGAAUUUAAUCAGAAGCCACUGCCAGAUUUCCGGAAUAGGGCUGUGCUCAGAGUAUCCUGCCUUGGCAAAUCACAGACACUGAUGGCCUUUGCAACCACGUACCUACGUGAGAGUGGAUUCUCAGCCCUCACUAGCAUGAAAACUAAAUACAGACACAGACUGUGUGGAAAAUGAUUUAAAGACAGGUUGUAUUGGAGAGUCUAACUGUGCAGCGUUAUGUGCAUCCUUUCAAGCACACAUCAUUAACCUGUGGUGAGUUAUUCACAAUUUUUAAUGAACAAAUAAGGUUUUAUAUGUAAGAUGGUUAAAUAAAGAGCAAUAUUAUUGAUUAUUAUUAUUUGUGCCUUGGUCCUAAAGAGCUCUUUGUCACUUCCCACGAGCUGGGUUAUGAUGACAACUUACACUCAUUGUUAUGUUUAAUAAAUGUAUUGAAUAGUGUGUGUGUGUGUGGCAGGCUUACAACGAUGGCACAAAACAACAUUUGAGAGUGCGCUGACCCUGGUGCCAGAGGGGGUACAGCUGACCCUGGUGCCAGAUGGGGUACUCAGCUGGAGGUUGAAUGUUUGAAUGGGUACAGGACUAUAAAAAGUUUGGGAACCACUGAUCUGAGUGAUUCUACGUAUUUAAAAGGUUAAUAGCUGUGUGUUGAUGUGAGUGAUUCUACGUAUUUAAAAGGUUAAUAGCUGUGUGUUGAUGUGAGUGAUUCUACGUAUUUAAAAGGUUAAUAGCUGUGUGUUGAUGUGAGUGAUUCUACGUAUUUAAAAGGUUAAUAGCUGUGUGUUGAUGUGAGUGAUUCUACGUAUUUAAAAGGUUAAUAGCUGUGUGUUGAUGUGAGUGAUUCUACGUAUUUAAAAGGUUAAUAGCUGUGUGUUGAUGUGAGUGAUUCUACGUAUUUAAAAGGUUAAUAGCUGUGUGUUGAUGUGAGUGAUUCUACGUAUUUAAAAGGUUAAUAGCUGUGUGUUGAUGUGAGUGAUUCUACGUAUUUAAAAGGUUAAUAGCUGUGUGUUGAUGUGAGUGAUUCUACGUAUUUAAAAGGUUAAUAGCUGUGUGUUGAUGUGAGUGAUUCUACGUAUUUAAAAGGUUAAUAGCUGUGUGUUGAUGUGAGUGAUUCUACGUAUUUAAAAGGUUAAUAGCUGUGUGUUGAUGUGAGUGAUUCUACGUAUUUAAAAGGUUAAUAGCUGUGUGUUGAUGUGAGUGAUUCUACGUAUUUAAAAGGUUAAUAGCUGUGUGUUGAUGUGAGUGAUUCUACGUAUUUAAAAGGUUAAUAGCUGUGUGUUGAUGUGAGUGAUUCUACGUAUUUAAAAGGUUAAUAGCUGUGUGUUGAUGUGAGUGAUUCUACGUAUUUAAAGGGAAUGAAGUGGAGUGUCUAAUCCUCCUGCUGUAUCUCCAGGAGAUCAGUGAAGAGUUGAGAUACUGCGAUUGGUUGGAACCAUGUCCGUGGAAUGUUUUCAUUGUUGUGUGGCCCCUGACCCCUGUGUUGUGAUGGUUCA